CUAAGAAUUGCGAUUAAAAUCAUAAUUCACCAAUUAUCAAAAUCGACCGUCAAUUGAAAACAAGAUUCAUCAAUUACUCACAAAAUAUAUAGCCUUCUUUAUUAUAAACGAUGUUGCUUUAAAAGUAGUAACGCGAUAUACGUCAAGUCCUCCCCUAAUAUAAUUUGCACGUAUGAAAUCUCGGAUUUUUUAUGAAUGUAUGUAUGUCAAGCAAAUUGCAAUUUCGGAAAAAUUGCACGCCACGCUUUCCUUAGAAUGUGAAUGACAGACUUGCAAGGGUCGAAUCUAGAUCAUCAUGUCCUCGAUUCGCAGAUGCGUUUACAAGACCGCGUGCUUUAUUAGUUACAUUGAAUUCAGCACUUGGUACAGGCACUUGGUAAACGCGAUUUUAUCGGAAAGUUCAUCGCAGACUUGAAUGACAAGCAAAAUAUAUACUACCUGAUGCUUGCAUCAAGUGCAAUCCCUUAUUGGAGUGCAAUACCUUACUUCCUCAUGUUAGACAAGAAACGAUUUUCUAGUCUUGCGAGCAAAUAAUGUUGCUUCUACGAAACAAUAUGGCAUUGCAAAAGAUGAAUUUUUUAUGAAUCUGAGAGAAGAACUUUCAUAGAUAAUCGAUAUAUCAGAAGAUUGCGUUACUUUGCAUCACGAUUUAUUCUAGUUUAUUUCAGUCAUUUUCAGUCACGAAAAUAAUUCCUUUUGAUGCACAAUGAUGCGUUUGAUGAUGUAAUGAUAUCUUAUUUUAUGGGUAUAUCAUAUGCAAUCUUUCGUUCCUUGAUAUCGAACAGAAUUUAACAAGAAGAAAUAUUAUAUCGAAACAUUUGUAGGCUUUUUACAAUAAAUUGGGCAAAUAAUUGGUUUAUAAUUAUGCACUCUGUUUAAUUUUCCACAUUAUUUCUCUAAAUAAUACAAUGUUUAUUCAACACUUUAUCUAAUAAUACAAUACAGGAAUAACUAUCUCGCUAUUGCGUUUUAAUUCGCACAAUUAUUCCACUUUCGCUCUCGUUCUGCCAUUUUUAUUAACUCAUCCUAUUCCUUAAUCCUUGUUUUCGAUGUCAGCGCGGUCCUAUCCAAAUAUCUCAAAUAGUAAAAUUUCUCUAACUUAUUGGCAUUUUAUUUCUUUCAUAGGCGUGUAUACGUUAUUCAACGUGAUUUCGUCAAUGUUGAUUGCCAAUCGUGGAUAAUUAAUUAAAACUAUAAGAUAGCUUAUUUACGAUUGUUCAUUAUAUUCAAACAAUUUUAGAGCUUAUCUCUGUUAAUCGAAAGUUCUUCUCUGAGACAGCAACCAUGCUCGAUCCAAAGAGAACAUACAUCAAUCGGUCCGUACUAGCUUAUAAUAACUGAAGAUUUAACAUUAGAUAGAAUGUUGCAACUUAACAAAAAUUGAUUGAUCGAACAUUGUUGAUAAUACAUAUCCUCUUUUCAUCACUGUAAAAUCGCGCUGAUAUUACUGUCGAAUUUGAAACAAAAUAUACGAAUUACUCAUGUAUUAUUGUGUUCAUAGAUUUUACAUGCGAUAGUUUAAUAAGUCAUUUAAAAUUUCCGUUUCUUUUUUUGUCACUCCUGCAUGUUCACUAAAUUUAAAGAAUUUCUAAUAAAACUUCUUAUUAAUCUUAAUUGAUUUUACUUUUGAUUUUAUGACAAAUUUAUGGCGCUGUAAUUGCUACAGAAUUAUAUGAAUGUAUAUCGUUUUGUGUAAAUAACUAUUUAUAUAAUCAUAUGUGCCAUUUUUUAGAGCAUUUGUAAGAUUAAUCAUUACUUUUUAAUAAAACAUUGAUUAAAUUAGCCAACUUUUCUAUAAAAGUGCAAGGAUUUUUAUGCUUGAACUUAGUAGAGAAAAGAGGAAAUAUAAGAUAUUAUAUAACAGAAUUGCAAAAUCGUAUGUAACACUGAUAACGAGAGUAAUAUUAAUAAAAUAUAAAUAAUAUUAUUAAACAACAUUAAGAAAUCUCUCUUUUUUUAUCUCUCUUUGUCAAUGUAAUGUAAAAUGUAAAAGAGUUUGUUUCAUAUAUAUAAAAAUUUACCUGAAACUUAAAAUAUAUAAAAUACUUUGAUAAUUUUUACGAUUAAAUGCGGAUUUACACAAUGUGGAGUACAUAUGAUGACGAGUAGCAAAGUAAUAAGCAAAUUAUUCAUAUUAUUUUUCACUACUUCAGGGAAGAAUCUGCAAACAAAAAAAAUGCAGCUAAUAUAGUUAUUAAUAAGCUGUAGAGAUAAAUAUUAUGUAUAAUUGUGAGAUAAUUUAGUAAAAACUUACUGAAGUGUGAAUAACAAGAAAUCUGCUAUGUCCUCCACAUACCAUUCCGGGCGAUAAAUUUGCACGUAAUUUCUUGGGGGAAGUUUGGAAGAGGAUUACCCGGAGCAGUCUGCAUCAGAAUACUCCGCAAAACCUCGGCGACUGAUGUAUAAAAAUACGAUUUGCAAAAAUAUUAAAACAGAUAAAGGAAUCUAAUACUUCGAACGAGAGAAAGACGCCGUUCCCGAAACUCGACGAUAGGAUCAUAAGAUUAGCGACGAUAGCUGCAGACGAAUCUGAUUUUGGCACUGUUGUUUGGAGCUGGGACGUAAGAUAGAUAAAGCUCUAUCUAUCUAUAUAUAUAUAUGUAAUAUAUUUAUGAUCCGACUCGUAGCCUUUUUAUUAUAUGUAUGUAUAUACAUAUAUACAUACAUAUAUAUAUAUACAUAUAUAUAUAUAUAUAUACAUACAAUCUCAGGCUCGAUGCUCGAUAUUCCAUUCCUUCUAUAACUUCUCGUUAUUCUCUCUUUCUUUCUCGCUCUUUCGUUUUCAUUUCUCAUAAAAAGUCACGUCCAUGUCGCAAAAAAAAAAACGAAAAAGAGAAA